rnacentral:rRNA from 1 species
GGCUCAGAACGAACGCUGGCGGCAGGCUUAACACAUGCAAGUCGAACGCCCCGCAAGGGGAGUGGCAGACGGGUGAGUAACGCGUGGGAAUCUACCCAACUCUACGGAAUAACUCAGGGAAACUUGUGCUAAUACCGUAUACGCCCUUCGGGGGAAAGAUUUAUCGGAGUUGGAUGAGCCCGCGUUGGAUUAGCUAGUUGGUGGGGUAAAGGCCUACCAAGGCGACGAUCCAUAGCUGGUCUGAGAGGAUGAUCAGCCACAUUGGGACUGAGACACGGCCCAAACUCCUACGGGAGGCAGCAGUGGGGAAUAUUGGACAAUGGGCGCAAGCCUGAUCCAGCCAUGCCGCGUGAGUGAUGAAGGCCUUAGGGUUGUAAAGCUCUUUCACCGGAGAAGAUAAUGAC